rnacentral:tRNA from 1 species
AAAAAUUUAGUUAAACUUGCAUAACACUAACUUGUCAAGUUAGAAUUAUUUUAAAAAUAAUUUUUA